AUGACCCCAGGUCAGUCGGGAUUACCC
rnacentral:rRNA from 1 species